AGAGUUUGAUCAUGGCUCAGGAUGAACGCUAGCUACAGGCUUAACACAUGCAAGUCGAGGGGAAGCAUGAACUUAGCUUGCUAAGUUUGAUGGCGACCGGCGCACGGGUGAGUAACACGUAUCCAACCUUCCGUUUACUCAGGGAUAGCCUUUCGAAAGAAAGAUUAAUACCUGAUAGUAUGGUGGGAUUGCAUGAUAGCACCAUUAAAGAUUUAUUGGUAAACGAUGGGGAUGCGUUCCAUUAGGUAG
rnacentral:rRNA from 1 species